GUUGAUGUGUGUGGAAGUAAACAAAUAUGGCGUCUCGAAAAGCACGCUUAUUUUGAAAAUGAAGUUUUCAGAGAUUGUUUUAAUCUACGGAUGAAGUGGUCGUCAUUAACGGAGAAAGGAAAAUUUGUUAAAUUAAGAUACUACAUUCCUAGUCUAUUAUAGACCUAGGAAUAUUAGUCGACAUGAAGGGUUCAAGGGCAAUCUAAGGAAAUCAUAAAUUGUACAGAAACUAUACAAAGAAUGCUUGAGUAUGCCUUGAAAUUUCUACAACCUAAUUCUCUGUCCAGAUGACUUUUUGUAAUCUUACUGACAAAGAUGUUCACCAUAUUCAAUUGGAGCACAUUUAAGAUAUGGCUCCUCUAGCUAAUGUGAUCAUGGCAUUAGCCUCAGAAAGGUUGAGAACCAUUGGAUUAAA
rnacentral:lncRNA from 1 species